rnacentral:lncRNA from 1 species
UUCGGCUCUCAUUUUGAUACACCAACAGAAAGAGAGAAAAAGAGUAAGGUUUCACAGACAGGGUAUAAGAAAAUAGUCUGUGAGUAUAAUAGAGAGUGAGCGAUAUUGUAGUGAGGUGGAAUAUCAAAAGAGGGUUAUUUCUUUUGAGUGUUGUAGUAGUCUUUGGAGUAUUUUUGUAGGAUCUACAAAGCGUAAAAAUUCCUUACUAUAGUGAUAUCAGUUGCUCCUCUCAGGGCCGUAGUUUUUUCCCUUAUUCAUACAAAGUGUAAAAUUCCUUACUAUAGUGAUAUCAGUUGCUCCUCUCAAGGCCGUAGUUUUUUCCCUUAUUCAGAAGGGAUUUCCACAUAAAAAUCUUGGUGUUGUUGUUACUCUUUUAUUCUUGUUAAUUACCGUAUCUCGGUGCUACAUUAUUAUUCCGUUUUUAUUAUCGUGAAUAUUAUUUUGAUAGGAGUUUAUUUCCAACAGUUCAAACUUGGAAUAUUUAUCGCCAGAUAAUUAAUGUUGUGCUUCUCUGUGUGAAGAAAUUUAUUUUUUCAUUAACUUGGUUUAGGUUGGAACAUUUUACUAGUUCAUUGAUCUUAGUCCAUGCCUCCAUGGGUCCCAAGAAGUCAUGGACUUUUGAAACAUAUUUAAUGCUUUUUGGCUUUUUGGACUAAUAAGGGUGGAAUUGAAAGAAGAAGAAAAAAUGUGUUCUUGAUUCCUAUAUUGAGGAGUAUUUUUGGACCAAAACUUUUGUGAUAAAUAAUAAAAAGAUUCGAAGGAAGUAUGCAAGACCUGCACCUUGAAAAAAUAUUAAAAGAAACAAAAAGGGAGUUUAUAGUGCGAGCAAGUUAUUCGAAAAUCAUAUUUUCCCCCAUAUGACAUAAUAUCGGUAAUAUAUGAUUCUAUAAGAGUUUGUCGGAAACAAUCUCAAUAUCUCACCUAAGGUGCUUGCAUAUAGCCCACCAUCCAAGAUCUCACUUGUAGAAUUAUACUGAAUAUAUUAUUAUUGUACGUUGUUGUUGUUAUUGUUGUGGCCUGUGGGAUCGUACAGAAAAAUUAUGGAUUAUUUUGUUUAUUAUAUAGUUGCCGGAUUUAAUGGAAUGAAAUGAGAUGCAAUAACUUGAUUGAUUGCUUUAUUUAUUUUGCCAACAGAAAAUACCAAAUUUUAUUAUUCGAAAACCAUAUUCUCUUUUCUGGUUAUGGAGUCAUUUCGGUAGUACAGGAUCCUACAGGAAAACCAUGGACUAUAUUUUUUUAUUAGUUGCUGGUUUCACUGGAAUGAAAUGAG